rnacentral:lncRNA from 1 species
CAGCCCAAUUCAGCUAGAACUAGUUCAAAUGAGUGGAAUGAAGGUAGUGGAAGGGCUUUGAAGUUUAAGGAAAGCCAUAGGCUGUCUUACGACGAGAGGGAGAUGAGAAACAACGGAUACAAGACGGACUCGAAGUUGAAAGAGACACCUAGGUUGUCUUUGGAUAGUAGAUCAAGUCCUCCAGUGAGUCACAGGAGAUCGAGUUCGAGUGUUGUUGCCAAACUGAUGGGGCUUGAAGUCAUUGCGGACAAUUUUGAAACCGAGCAGAGAAAAGAGAACCUGUUUUGCGACUCCCCAAGGCCACAACCAACAGCUCUACAGAGAUCUAGAAGCGUUGGUUCCAUCAAGAAGAUACUACCUGCUUCUUCUAAGUUUCCAAUGGAACCAGCUCCGUGGAAGCAAAUGAAAGCAGGAGACGCUGCACCGACGGUUUAUGGAGAGAUUCAGAAGAGGCUUACGCAGCUGGAGUUCAACAAGGCGGGAAAAGAUCUCAGAGCUCUUAAGCAAAUACUUGAGGCUAUGGAAAAGACGCAGAAAACUCACCAGCCAGUUCCAGCUGCAACAAGUCCAGCUAUGAACUCUAAAUCUACAUCGAUCGUGGUAAUGAAACCAGCGACUCCAGUUUCCACUUCCUCGCUGCAACAGAAGGCCGCCUUGCCAAAUGUCAAUGUUGGCAACACCAGACAAACUCAAAAAGUCACCUCGGGGAAGCAGAACAUUGAUUCGACCAAGAGCACUAGCCCAAAACCAAUAAGGUCGAGGCAAACUUUGGUUGCUAAGUCAGGUAAGAGCCAACAGCAAAGCGUUAGCCCAAGAAUGCAGCCCAAAAAGAUCGGGUUUGAGAGGCAGUCGCGACCAACUACUCCAANNNNNNNNNNNNNNNNNNNNNNNNNNNNNNNNNNNNNNNNNNNNNNNNNNNNNNNNNNNNNNNNNNNNNNNNNNNNNNNNNNNNNNNNNNNNNNNNNNNNCCAUAAACCCUAAACCCUAAACUCUAAACCUAAAAUUCUAAAUUCUAAAUUCUAAACCCAAAACCCAAAACCAUAAACCCUAAACCCUAAACUCUAAACCUAAAAUUCUAAAUUCUAAACCCAAAACCCUAAACCCUAAACCCUAAACCAUCAACCCUAAACUCUAAACCUUAAAUUCUAAACCCUAAACCCAAAACUCUAAACCAUAAACCCGAACCAUGAUCAAGUAAUGAGUUUAGGGAUUAAUUUAGGGUUGUGUUUUGGGUUUAGGGUUUAGGAUUUAGGAUUUAGGGUUAGAGUUUUGGGGUUUGGGUUUAAGAUUUUGAGUUUAGAAUUUAGGGUUUAGGAUUUUGGGUUUAGAGUUUAGGAUUUAGGGUAUUGGGUUUAGGGUUUAGGAUUUGGGGUUUAGGGUUUAUGAUUUGGGGUUUAAAGUUUAGGGUUUAUAUUUUUGAUUUUUAGAGUUUUGGUUUUUACGGACGGUUUUAAUAUCGGUGUUGUUUUUCUGAGUUAUUUAUUUUUUAAUUUUAUUACUUUUUUUAAUUAAUCAUACAUGGCAUUUUGGUUGGUUAUAAAUAGUGAGGUGAAUUUAACCAUUCACCAUAGGGGUGAACCAAAGUAUUGUUCAGUCGCACGUACCAAGUGAUAUCCAAGGGACCAAACAUUAUAGAUAUUAGAUAAUCAGGAAAUGAGCUCAUUUUGAAUAUUAAGAUAGAAAUAACGAGAAAGUAAAGAUUGCAUCAGACAAAGCAUAAUGAUUCUUAUCAUAUAUGGGUUCCAUACUUUAUCUUUUGCAAUUGUACGCCCAUUUUGUAAAGUAACUCUGCAUUAGUUUUUUAUGGUUUACGGUAUUAUUAUGGCUCCAUUUCUUCUGCCCAUGUGUUAAACAAAAUGUAUUUUCUGCAAAGAAUAUAACAAACUAAUUUCCAAGGUACAUGUACUUGUGAGCUUAUAAUUACUUUAUGGGGUCUUAGAUUUGUGAAAGUAAAUGCCCAUAUGAAUAUAUGAUUACCACAACUCAAGAAACAUUUUAAAGCUAGCAUAUCCAACAAAUGAAUUAACUUGAUAUGGGUAAAAGUGUAAAUGAAAUGACCAUGUGCAUAUGAAAGAAGCUACAAAAAAAAUUAUUCUAAAAGAGUUAUCACAGUUUAAUCAUUAAAAUUACUUCUAUAUAUUUCACCUAAACACUAAACAUAACACUUGGAAUCAUGUAGCUAAACAAGAGCUACCGCGUGUUCGGUUUGAACUUUACGUUCUUAUGAGCUAACGGAUGCUUCUUUUGGUAAAGAAUACUAUAUGAUACAACAUGUCAUACUUUGUAAUGUUAAUCAAUAAUCAAGACCAACGUCUUAAAAUUAACCGAUCGAUAAACGAUGACAGAAAUCACUUUUUGUUUUUGGAUUUCCCUAAAAUUAGAUCUGUCGUCUCAUGUGACAUUGAAUUAUAGUAAUAGAUAACUAUAAGCAUGAAUGAAGAAAGGAAUCCUUGCUUAAUUAACAAUCUAGACGUUUAGAGAUGUAUCGAUUCAAAGACAUAUUUCAUCGUUUCUUACAAAUAAUAUACUAGCUUUUGCUUCACUAAUUAAUACUAAAAAUCACGGAAGUAAUAAUAUUAAUUAUCGAUGACCACAAGCCAGAUGAUUAAUUAUAGUACAUAGUCAAAUGUGAUGGCUUAAAUAUAUAGUCAGAAUAAAACCAGUACUAUUAAAUUCACGUAGAAUUGUUAUUCGUUAGAUUUUUUAUUAACAUUUUCCAAUAACUUCCAAGCAGGAAUUAUAUAGCCAUACGAAGAUGUGUAUGUAAUGUUGGCAUCCAAAAUCAAGGAGAGAAACCCCACAGAAAUUAAUGGUGAAGUUAAACAAAUGUUGAAUGGUGGAAGAUAAGUGGGAUCAUGUGCCAAUAGUUGAACUGGAUGAAUAGACAUUGAAACUUAACGUAAAAGAAUACACACUAGUCUUUUUAAUUGAUUUCAAAAUUGCUAUUUCUAAAAUAUUGUUGAAAAUGUAUGUUGGUUAGAUGGUUCCCCAUCAACCCCAACACCAAGUCUCACUUGCCCAAUUGCUUCAUGUGACUUUGUUCCCCUUUUAUCUUUUUCUUUUUUGUUCCCUUCCUCCUUUUUUCACUUGUCUAUUGUUUUCCAUUUAUUAUAGAUAUUCCAUCUUAUCGGGCGAAGUAUGUUUGGUGCAAUUAAUUGUUUUCAAAAAAAAUGUUUGGUGCAUUUAAUUUCUUUAUUUAGGAAAAAAUAUAUGUCCAUGUUUGACUGAUAGUUCAUUUUGUAAAAAUGUCACGUUCGAAUCUCAUCAGCUUCACGAAAGUAUUUAACAACGGACUCUUAUCUUAAAGAAAAACCAUUUUAAGAAAACAAUUUCCAUAUAAAUCAUAUAUAUAUAUAUAUAUAUGUAUAUGUUACUUGAUUAUCUAAUUUAUUCUUUUAAUUUGAUUGACAAUUCAACUUCAACAUCCUCACAUCACAACACUGUCGAUUUUUUCGUUCACCCUGUUAAUUGUUUUGAUGCAGUUAUGAACCAUUUAUAUAUACACAAACACUAAUUAAAUCCAUGCACCAUUCUUCAUCACAUUUUUCGUAGAAUCGAUUGUUAAUUAUAAUAACUAUGCGUACAGGGCAUGCAUGAUAUAUAUAACGUAGAUACUUGCUAUAUAUAGUUUGUGACUGGCGUAGAGAAAUAUCAACUAGUAAAAGCAAAUUUUUUUCCAAAAAUAGUGACUCUUCUUUAUCUUCGUAACACAUUCUCUCGCUCCUAAAACACUGAAAAGAUAAUCUUCGCUAGUGCGAACAACUUUUAGUAACAAUCAACCAUACUGAUCAUUGCAUAAAGUGUUGUUACGAUAAUAUACCAUUCACAUGAAGCUUCAAAAGUCGUUAAUCAUAAAUUGUUACCAAGGCAAUCAAUUAUUAAAAAUAAUGAAAAAUCAUUUAUACGGAAAGAUUGAAAAGUAUAAGAGAAAACAUUAAAGAUGACGCGCUUGAUAUUGUAAUAGUAUAUUCCUUGGUACUUACUAAGGUCAAAUCAAAUUAAUUUGUUUUCAUGCGAAUUAAAGAAAAACAUUUUUGUAAGAAGAAAAAUUAUAUAGAUAAUAUUUAUAAACCCCACCUUCUUCACAGCUCAUUGUGGAACAAAGCACGUGAUAUGUCCACAAGCUUUUUGUGCUUAGUGCAGACUCAGGACAUAACCCUCAAAUCAACGAAGACAAGAAGUAUAAGACGACGACUUUAUAAUAUAAUAACCCUCUACUUAUUUUACAUGCUAGAUUCCUUAAUUUUGAAUUUAAUAACUCACAUGCAAUAAAAGUUAUUACAUCAUCUUUUAAGCAAUCAAUUUAACACCUAGCAACCGACCAUUUUUUAUAACCAGAUAACAUUGAAUUAGAAUUUUCAGAAGUUGUUUUUAUAAAAAAAUUACAUCGAAAGUUUAUAAUCCUCCCGAUCUUUAGAAAGAGAGAAAUAAUCUUCUACUUAGCAAAAAAAAAAAAGAGAAAUAAUCUUCUGUCAAUACUUGUCGCUUGUCCACAAAACGCAAAUCAUCCGUAUUCCAUAUAAAUUAGUUACUUUCACUUUCUAUAACUAAAUAAUCUCCUUUCUUAGUGUCUGAACAAUUCCUUGUAAGACCCAUCAAUCUCAGUUCAUGCAUGCUAAAAAAAAAAUUCUCAGUCCAUGCAAGCUUUCUUCCAGUCACCAAUCCACUUUCUCUCAUAAUCAUUUAUUUUGAUUUCAUGCUGCCAUUAAAAUACUAAUAAUAUUUUCUUAUUCUUUUAGAUAAAUAUAUUAUUAUUUUUUUGUUCAAAAAUAUAUUAUUUAUUUAUUUUCAAAAAUUAUGUGUGUUUCUGACAAACUCCACAUGCUCAUGUAAAGGGCCACCAAGACUUCUAAAGACCCAACUCCAUUAUUUUGUCCACAUGGAUGUGAAGGAAAACUUAGCUAAUUAUAACUCAUACAAAAAAAAAAUUCAUUUAUAUAUUUCAUAUUAUUAUUAUUGUGAGACAUAACCAAAUAGCAUUUGGAGAUCAAAAUUUAAAGUUAAAAUACCCCCUCUAUCAAUUUUUAUGUUAUAACCAAAUUGUUUCUUAAUUAUGCUUUUAAUUAUACAUAACAUAACAGUGAAUUAUCAACUGCUAAUCGAUAAAAGAAACUCAAAUGACUGCUGAGAUAACUUUCAAAAAUAUGAUUUUUAUAGUAUUGGAUUAUUAUUAUUAUUAUUAGUAGUAGUAAAUUAUUCAUCAAUUUACUAUUUUACACCAACAAAUUAAGAUAAACUAAAUCAAUAAGAAUAAGAACGUUUCUUACAAUACAUCCAAAUAUAACCAGUUUUUUUUUUCUAAUUUCAAAAAAGCAUUUAACUUUGGUAUAAUAAGCUAGUCUUGUGCUCUCAUGUGCAGAACUUUCAUCGUAAAUAGGUGAACCAGAUUCCUAAUUAUUUGCCAAGCAGAAUUUUUCAGAGCUCUGACAUAAUUGAAAGAAUAUAUGAUAAAUACAAAAUUUGUACAUGUAUAUAACCUUACAUGUUAACACAUGUACAUUCUUACAUUAUAUAUGCUUCAAAGCUUUCCGGCGACAGUUGUAUCUUUUGCCUUUAAAGAAACAAACCUCUUUAUCAAAGAACUAAAACAAAAACCUUUUUUUCCACUUCUCUUCUUUCUUCUUCAAGGUAGCCUCCAAAGCAAAACACCAAAGAGCCUAAUCUGUUGUCUGGUCAUAACUUCAUAAGAAGCUCCUUAAUGCUGGCUUCUUCCUGUCCAUUUCUUCGUUUCUUCUCCAUCUGAAACACACACAAAAAGAAACGCUAAAUCCAGAACAGAGGAAGAAGACGAAGAAAUUGGUAACUGCAACAACAGAGUUUAUGAAAGUUCGUUUACUUAGUUAUUUCUUUUGAGAUAAGGAGUUAAGAAGAGGAAGAAGAUAUGUCUGCAAAACUUCUGUAUAACUUGUCAGAUGAGAACCCAAAUCUGAAUAAACAGUUUGGAUGCAUGAAUGGGAUCUUUCAAGUGUUUCACCGGCAACAAUAUCCGGCGAGACCAGUCUCAAGCGAUGUAGAAAAGUCUCUGCCUCCAGGUAACUUAAAUUCUCUCUAAAUCUCAGUUCAGUGUUUAGGACCACAAAGAAGAAACAGACUAGUUUCACUAGAACCAAAAACUACAGGUAACUUAAUAAGUGGCUCAUUUUGCAGGAGAAAGAAAGGAUCAUGCCAGUGAAAUAAACAUGGAAAGUGAUAAAGAAACGGUAAGAAUCUUAAACCCUUUGUUCAUUCAUCUCUGAGAAAUGAGAAUUCUGAAAAAGAAAGACUAAUAAAAAAACAGAAAUUGCAGGGAANNNNNNNNNNNNNNNNNNNNNNNNNNNNNNNNNNNNNNNNNNNNNNNNNNNNNNGAAAGAGUACCAAGAGGAAGAAGAAGUCUGCAGUGAAAGAAAAGCAUAGAGUAUCUUCUGAAUCAUCUUCACGGCCUUCCUUUUCGUCUUCUCCACGCUCCUCGAGCUUCUCGUCUACAGAAGUCAGUACCACGGCUUCUCAAUACGACCAGCCUGGAGAGAAGCAGAUCAGAGAACAGCCCAAUGCUAGGCCUAUGAUGCCAUUUGAUCUGAAGGAGCUUGUGAAAGGCUCUAUUAAUAGAGAAAUGAGAACCAGAAGUGAAGAAACAGCAGCCUUCACUCAGCAGCAGCAGCCCAAUUCAGCUAGAACUAGUUCAAAUGAGUGGAAUGAAGGUAGUGGAAGGGCUUUGAAGUUUAAGGAAAGCCAUAGGCUGUCUUACGACGAGAGGGAGAUGAGAAACAACGGAUACAAGACGGACUCGAAGUUGAAAGAGACACCUAGGUUGUCUUUGGAUAGUAGAUCAAGUCCUCCAGUGAGUCACAGGAGAUCGAGUUCGAGUGUUGUUGCCAAACUGAUGGGGCUUGAAGUCAUUGCGGACAAUUUUGAAACCGAGCAGAGAAAAGAGAACCUGUUUUGCGACUCCCCAAGGCCACAACCAACAGCUCUACAGAGAUCUAGAAGCGUUGGUUCCAUCAAGAAGAUACUACCUGCUUCUUCUAAGUUUCCAAUGGAACCAGCUCCGUGGAAGCAAAUGAAAGCAGGAGACGCUGCACCGACGGUUUAUGGAGAGAUUCAGAAGAGGCUUACGCAGCUGGAGUUCAACAAGGCGGGAAAAGAUCUCAGAGCUCUUAAGCAAAUACUUGAGGCUAUGGAAAAGACGCAGAAAACUCACCAGCCAGUUCCAGCUGCAACAAGUCCAGCUAUGAACUCUAAAUCUACAUCGAUCGUGG